rnacentral:rRNA from 1 species
UACGGGGGGGGCAAGCGUUGUUCGGAAUUACUGGGCGUAAAGGGCUCGUAGGCGGCCAACUAAGUCCGACGUGAAAUCCCCAGGCUCAACCUGGGAACUGCGUCGGAUACUGGAUGGCUUGAAUUCGGGAGAGGGAAGCAGAAUUCCAGGUGUAGCGGUGAAAUGCGUAGAUAUCUGGAGGAAUACCGGUGGCGAAGGCGGCAUCCUGGACCGACAUUGACGCUGAAAAGCGAAAGCUAGGGGAGCAAACGGG